ACAACUGAGAAAAAGAAACAAACUGCAUAGAAAAAUAACAAAACAAAAUUGAAAGAAAUAACAGAAAAAAAUAAGAAAGAAACAACUCUCCCACAGUCAAUUUGUGUAUCAAAUUCAAUGUUAUUUUGUUUACAGCAUUAAUAUAAAUAUUUUUAGUUUUAGCUGUGAUGCGAACAAAUGUUGAACAUAUUAAAAAAAUACCCUACAUUGACCCUACAUACAAAUGCAGAGGUUUCUAAUGUACAAAAUUGAUUUCUAAUUUUAAAGGCUGAUCACGUAAAUCAAGUGCAAUUAAAACUGAGCUAAAUAAGACAAUUUAAAUGUGUGGCAUGUUUGAUUAUAAAUUUAUAUUAAAUUAUUUUCGGGAUUGGUGAUAAUAAAUGAUAUUUCAAAUACUGGGAAAUAUUGUCAUACAACAAGUGGCGGAUUUAACAAAAUGUAAACUACUGCAGAUGAAAAAAACUGAUAAACAGUUCUAAAACACAAGCUAUGAAGGAAGUCUUACGGAUUUAUCAUUAAGCAUAAACAAAUAGCUUAUAUUGUCUCGACAGUAAAGCUACAUUUAUAAUUUAAAUUAAUUAAAACUACUUAAGUGACAUGUCUAAAAUUCAUUUAAUAACAACAUCUGUAACAUUAAUA